rnacentral:Y_RNA from 1 species
GGCUGGUGAGUGAAAUGGUGUUCACAACUAACUGAUCACAACCAGUUAUAGCUUUCUUUGUGCCUUCUCUCACUCCUACUCCUUCACUUGACCAGCCUUAA